UCCCAUUUUUUCCCCACUUUUUCCCGCAUUCCCAGGUCCAGGUCAAUCCCAAAUAUUUGGUGCUGGAGUCAGAUUUCACCAACAACGUCGUGCGCUGCCACAUCCACUACACCGGCCGCUUCGUCUCCGCCUCCAACUGCCGCAUUUCCCAGUCCUGAUGGCCGCAGAAUCCCAGGAAUGCCGCCCGUCCUUUUUCCCGGGAAGCUCCUGGGGUGGCUCCAACGUGUUCCCAAAAUUCCCCCUUUUCCCAAUAAAAAGCGGGGAAGCCACAAGGA